rfam:Triticum urartu cultivar G1812 contig895807, whole genome shotgun sequence.
UUAGUACUCCCUCCGUUCGGAAUUACUAAUCGCAAAAAUGAAUGUAUCUAGAUAUAUUUUAGUUAUAGAUACAUUCAUUUUCGAGACAAAUAUUCCGAACGGAGGGAGUAAUUG